ACACGGGUAAGUCCUAUACGACUAGCUCCUUAUGAAUCCCCCAGGGCUUGACCGCAGCAAGGGCAAUAAGUUGUAGCGGUGCGAUGUAGUCAGCUUACCCACC
rnacentral:SRP_RNA from 1 species